CUACUCGUAUACUUGUUGGGGCAUUUCUACUUUCAGGGGGGCGAGUGACUUCUAGGUUCCUUCCAUCCGUAGUUAAGUCCUAUCUCCUAUUAAGUCCUAUCUCCUAUAUAAAGAUAAGAAUUCAUUUAGUGUUGAUUAAACUCUCUCUCUCCCCUGUAAGCAAAUAUUUAAGUUAAUGCGCAACCAAUUAUGUAUUAUGGUCCUUCUCCCGCGCCCACCUCUGUUAGAGAUUACUUACAAGUGAUUCUAUACCUCUGGGGCAACGAGUUCAAAUGGAGCCUCUGUUUCUUAUCC
rnacentral:lncRNA from 1 species